rnacentral:rRNA from 1 species
UGGGGAAUAUUGCACAAUGGGCGCAAGCCUGAUGCAGCCAUGCCGCGUGUGUGAAGAAGGCCUUCGGGUUGUAAAGCACUUUCAGCGGGGAGGAAGGCGGUGAGGUUAAUAACCUCAUCGAUUGACGUUACCCGCAGAAGAAGCACCGGCUAACUCCGUGCCAGCAGCCGCGGUAAUACGGAGGGUGCAAGCGUUAAUCGGAAUUACUGGGCGUAAAGCGCACGCAGGCGGUCUGUCAAGUCGGAUGUGAAAUCCCCGGGCUCAACCUGGGAACUGCAUUCGAAACUGGCAGGCUAGAGUCUUGUAGAGGGGGGUAGAAUUCCAGGUGUAGCGGUGAAAUGCGUAGAGAUCUGGAGGAAGACCGGUGGCGAAGGCGGCCCCCUGGACAAAGACUGACGCUCAGGUGCGAAAGCGUGGGGAGCAAACAGG